AUUGAACGCUGGCGGCAGGCCUAACACAUGCAAGUCGAGCGAGCGGCGGACGGGUGAUGAAUGUCUAUGAAACUGCCUGAUGGAGGGGGAGAACUACUGGAAACGGUAGCUAAUACCGCAUACCAUCAGAUGUGCCCAGAUGGGAUUAGCUAGUAGGUGGGGGAACGGCCCACCUAGGCGACGAUCCCUAGCUGGUCUGAGAGGAUGACCAGUCACACUGGAACUGAGACACGGUCCAGACUCCUACGGGAGGCAGCAGUGGGGAAUAUUGCACAAUGGGCGAAAGCCUGAUGCAGCCAUGCCGCGUGUGUGAAGAAGGCCUUCGGGUUGUAAAGCACUUUAAGCGGGGAGGCGUUACCAGCAGAAGAAGCACCGGCUAACUCCGUGCCAGCAGCCGCGGUAAUUC
rnacentral:rRNA from 1 species